GAUGAAGAACGUAGCAAAAUGCGAUAAGUAAUGUGAAUUGCAGAAUUCAGUGAAUCAUCGAAUCUUUGAACGCACAUUGCGCCCGCCAGUAUUCUGGCGGGCAUGCCUGUUCGAGCGUCAUUUCAACCCUCAAGCCCUCGGGUUUGGUGUUGGGGAUCGGCGAGCCUUUCUGGCAAGCCGGCCCCGAAAUCUAGUGGCGGUCUCGCUGCAGCCUCCAUUGCGUAGUAGUAAAACCCUCGCAACCGGAACGCGGCGCGGCCAAGCCGUUAAACCCCCAACUUCUGAAUGUUGACCUCGGAUCAGGUAGGAAUACCCGCUGAACUUAAGCAUAUCAAUAAGCGGAGGA
rnacentral:misc_RNA from 1 species